UUGAGUUUAUUCAAAUUAUUGUAUCGUAAAUUAUUAUAAUUUUCACCCUUGCCCUUGUUUAUUGUUUAGCCUUAGGGUCUUAAGUUGUUUUGUCUAUCAAUGGAGUUACAAUAUAACAGGCCCAUUUUUCCUCGACCUUGAAUGUUGGGACUUAUGUGAUAAAAUUUCCUGAAGUGAAGACUUGUAUUCUUCACCGUUUGACUUUGAAUUUCACUGUUUUGGGACUAUGUGAUAAAAUUCCUAAAGAGUUGUGUUCUUCAUCGUUUGAAUUUGAUAUCUCCACAGCUGUAAAACAGAAAAUUGUAGUAAUGAGUCCUCAAAAUGAUGUUAACCAUACUUCAAGCCUCUUGGAUGACACAUCUAUAAAUAUGGAAUUAGUUACAGAAGUGAGAAAAAGAGUACUUGAACAAUUAGAUCUACCUGAUUGGAAAGACAAUUAUGAUCAAAGAGAUAUUGAGAGAUUGAUGCAAGAUAACUGGUACUGUGCUCGAUUUAUUAAACACCAGAGGGAUGACAUUGAAAAUAGCUUGAAUAUGAUAAGAGAAGCCUUGAAAUGGAGAAAGGAAAUGGAGAUACAUGAUCUUGGGGAACACAACUUGUAUGCAGAGUAUUUUUCUCUUGGAGCAACAUUCCCAUACAACUGUGACAAAGCUGGAUUUAGAAUAUUGGUAAUGAGGGUGAAACUACAUACAAAAAAUGCUGCUACCAUGCUGGAACAAAAGAAAUUUGUAGCUUACUGGAUAGAGAAAUUGGACCACGAAACAAAUGGAGGGAAAAUUUCUAUCUUAAUGGACUUUUCUGAUUCUGGUUUCUCAAAUAUGGAUAUGGAGCUCACCUUCUAUAUCGUAUCUUUGUUUAAAUACUACUUUCCUUUUGCCUUGGGAUAUGUCUAUGUGUAUGAAAUGCCUUGGUUAUUUAAUGCCUGUUGGAAGAUUAUAAAGAACUUGUUACCAGAAGAAGCAACAGUGAGGUUUAAGUUUAUCAACAAAUCCUCUAUUGGAGAGUAUAUAGCUGUUGAUCAGCUUCCUAUCCAUCUAGGUGGCUCUUGCCCAAGAGACUAUGCUAUUCUUCAAUCUAAUGACAAAGGAAAGAAGCUUUCAAGCAUCACAAACGUAUAUCCAAGGAAAAAGAAGGUUUAUUUUGCCAAAGAAAAUGAAAUAUACGAGUCAGAUAAGAACUAUAACAUUGAAAAGAAAUUUACAUCUAAUGACCAAAACAUUCUUCUCUCACCACAUUCUUCCUCUGGGGAUAUCCAAAGUCUGGGUUCACUGCUCAAGAUGUGCCCAGGCUUGGCAAUAGUGUUCCCUGAAACUAGUGACUCCGAAGCUACUUAUGUGUGCCUUACCCUUACGAGCAUCACCAGUAAUUGUGUAGCUUACAAAUUAAAAACAAACAACUUGGGAAACUACCACGUCCAUCCAUCUUUUGGUGUAAUUAAGCCUGGAGAAUACAUCAUUGUUCACAUUCAACUAACUCCAGGGUCUCGCUGUGGAACCACAGAUAAAUUACUUCUAUUGGCUGUGGAAAUUGAAGAUGAGGAUGCAAAAGGACUUCAAAUUAAUAAGUUAUGGGAAAAUAAUUAUCCAGAAAAGAUUUUAAAACACAAAUUUAGAUGUGUUCAUCCUGUAUCCAUGCUAGGAGAUGUAGUAAACAAAUCUCUCGGGACUACCUCUAUUCAUACCCAAACUGAUCACCUCCCACACAAAAUUUUGGAAGAUAAAAUAGAAAGCAUGCAGAAAGAGAUGCUCCAGCUGCAAAAACAGAAUGACACCCUUCAGAAAUGCCAGAAGAUAGUGAUAAUCUUGUUAUUACUGCUUGUUUUUCUCCAAAUGAUUGUUAUAGUGAGCCAACAGUUUUAUUCCUGGGAGAGUCGUGACCAUCCUGAUCUGUCAUCCAGUCCAUUUGAGAUAAAUAAUUAGGUUAAAAGUAACAGAAUUUUAAACCACAAUAAAUAUUUUAAUAACAGUAUUUUUAUACAAUGAAUAAAAUAUGUUUAAUAGAAAUUGACUAUUUAAUCUUAUAUUGUGUUUUGUGUGACAUCAGAAGUGUCUGUUGAGUGGUCUAUCCUGCUGUCGCUAUUUCUUGGUGAGGUACCAGGUGUUCUUGAUUAGAGAAUGGUCAUAGUUUCAGAUUUCUGAUUGAAAACAGGUAUUAUUCAUUGUUUAGAAGAAAAGGGAUUAAUGUGAUGAGAAAAUACAUUACAUCAAAAAACAGAAACGUUGUUUCACAUGUUCUUGAUUUUUAUUCACAGAAUUGAAUACUCUACUCAGUUUUCAAAAUAAUGAUAAAUAUAUAUAAAUGUGUUCUUGAAUAUGUUUUAAUUUUUCAGAACUCUAGAUAAGAUUUUAGGUCAAUGAGUAUUUACUCUGUAAAAUCCAACUCAAUGCUGAAAAUCUAAAUUUUAGUGAGUAUUUACAACAAUCCACCUUUUUUUUUUCUCCUUAAGGUAUAAAUUCUUUUUACAUAUUAUAAAGCCUAAGGGUUGGCUUUAUAAUAUGUAAAUAUUUGUACCUAAAGGAGAAAAAAAAGGUACAUAUACAAAUUAUUACCUUGACAUUGCUUUGCCACAUAGAGGUAGUCGUCUGUCUAAAGGUAGAAAAAAAACAUUCUUUCUUAAAAGUACUCCAUUGCAGUCCUGUAUCACAAAACUGGUCUGUGUAGUUUGACUAACCUGCUCAAAGUCUGACAUGAAUAGCUUAAGUUUUUACAUCACAGCUGAAUGAAUACGAAUAACUGAGUUUAUAACUGCCUAGUAUCGUUGCAGUUCUUGUGUCUUAAGUGUUUUAGAGCUCUGCCUCUUCUAAAUAAUAAACCCUGAACUGUGACUAGAUUUGAAAGAUUUCAGCACUUCCUGUGCAUAAUUACUUAUUGGUGUUAAAGAUAUAUUUGUUAUUAUUCUGUAAACGUUCAACAUAAGCUUGCACAGUUCAUCUACGUUCCCAAUAUUAGUCAUUUUCUCUUUAUCACUGGUUUCUUUCCAAUGUGUAUCGCUUUUAAAUACUCUAAGACCAACUUAAAAAACUGGCUUUUUCAAUAUUCAUUGUUUAAUGGAAAUCAUAUCCUCUACAACUGUCAGAAAAUUAAUGCAUUCCUAACUAUAUAUAUGUCUCAGAUGUUUUCCUAAUAUAAUCAUCAGCUGUAAUGCUUAAAGGUCAAAAUACUUAUUUUUUCAUUCACUGCUAUCAGUUGUUAAAAUGGGUUUUAAGUAUUUAUAAAUCAUAAACAAUAAGAGUAUAAGUUUGUAUCUCUAAACAUGCACCAAUAUAGACACAGACCUGACACCUGUUUGAGAUUUUGAAGCAACUCAGCCAAUUAACAGCGGCGCUUACAUCAAAACACUGGAUAAACAACAACUUGCUAUUUAGUUUUGUUAUUUUUCAUAAUUGUUAUUAAUUGUUGGAAUGUAUUUUUCUGAGUUAUGGCAUAGGGGUUAGCAUGUAAGACUUUGAUUGAUUGGUCUGGUGUUCGAGACACGUUGCCAUUGAGCAUGCUCCAUAUUUUCAGCUGUAUUUGAUAAAGUGUUAGUAAAUCCUAUUACUUUGUUCAAAGUAUCAAACAAAGCCCUCAUAAUAGCAGGUAUUGGUGGUUGACUGCUUUUCCUGUGAUUUGUAUUAUCAUAAGGGUCUCUGAUAAUAUGUACUCCAUGUGCAUAUAAUGAUUUUUCUUUAUUUAGUGAAAACAUUUUGUAAAUAUUGAAAGACCAUAUAAUAUAAUUUUUUAAGAUUAUUUAGAGCUAAUGAUGUUUCAAGUUAUUACUUCAGGUUCAUAAACCAAGUAAUUAGUUCAUUGUUGGAAUUUUGUGUAUGCUUGAAAAGAUGUUUUAGUUUGAGUUUUUCUACUAAUUUUAAUCUGUAUAAUAGCAUUAAGUUCCAUUGUGAAUCACCUUUCACCUGUACUUUCUCAGAAGGGUUUAAUUAUACAUAGACACAUUUUGAUUGUAGAUAUAAACCUUAAAAUUUGCACAAGAUUCAUCAUUUUUUACCCAAUAAGGUUAUAUGAUGUUCAGGUGUGAAAUUAUAAAAUUAACUGUAAAACAGAAGAAAACAAAUGGUAUAUUAUUACUUCAAAACAUAAAUAUAUUAGCACAAUGUUUUAGGAAUAUGCUCUUCAUCAGGCACUUUUAUAGCUUCAAUGCAUGUAAAAAUGAGUGUCCUGCAUAAAACAUUGUGAUAAUAAAUCUGUUUGUUAGGUAAUAAUGUAUUACACUGUCUUUUAUUUUGUACCGUUUUAUAAUUCAGCACUGGUUUCUUUGGGGGGGGCACACUUGUGUUUCUUUUAACAGUAAUAGAGUUUGAAAUAAUGAUUUUAUCUGACACAAAAGAUUUGUAAUUUGUCAUCAACUUUUAGUGAAAUGACUGCUUAAACACUCAGCUUUAGAAGAAUUCUUAAUUCACGUAUAGUAGCUAGCUUCCCAUUUUGGAAACUGGAAAUAAGUCACUUCAGCAUUUGACAAGAACAGUCUGAGUUGUUAUCAGAUGUUAUAAACCAUAAUCAUGACCGUGUAAUUAUCUGUUUAUGAUAUCAUGUCAUAAUUCUAGUAUCAUACUUAUAUUCAAACAUGAAUAUUUAUCUUUCUUCAGGCAUUAAUGUCCAGAAAACCAUCAACAUCACAUUGUUUGAAAUACUGUCUGCAUCAGUGCUGCUGGUAACUUGCAACUAGUUGAACUGUGUGUAGAGAAUUAUUAAUACAUGUAAUAUUAGAAUAAUGAAAUAUGUUUCACAAUGCUUAAAAAGUAUUCUCUUAAUUUUCAGAACAGCAUAGCCCCUUCUCCCCCCAAAGAAAGUGGGGGUGGCUUAAAGUUUAAUUUUUUAAAAAAGCAUUUCUAAAAAAUACAAUUUAUUGUAUAAUGAAGUUGAUUAGUCUUCGAUUACACAAAAAAUUGAGCUCUCUUGUUGUAUGAAUAUUUUUGUUACAAAUCUAUAUUUUGUACAAAAAUGCUUCAACAAUCUGUACUUGAAAUCAAGAUGGAGAUACUUGUUGAGUAUGCUUUGGAAAUAUGAAAUUAUGUUUUUAGUUUUAACUUUACCUAGUAAUAAUGUGAAGGUUACAAAGUAUAGAUUAGUUGUGAAAUUUUUGCAGAAAAUACUUUUACAUGAUUCCUUAGGUCAAUAGUUCCGAAGCUUCUUUUCAUUACCGAUUCCAUUUCAGACAUCCUGAAUCUGCACAAUUCACCUGCUCAAAGAUAUAUUUUAACUGAUCCAUUCAACUUUUCAUUGCUACACAUGAUUUUUUUCUAUCAAACUUACGACCCCACCAAAACUUACCAUGGCCCCCGGUUUGGAAACCAUUGACUUAAGACAUUAUGCAUGAAAUCAGACCUGGUCAAUAUGCUAUGGUUCAUUUAAUUUUCAUUGUGAUUAUUAAAGUAAUUCUGGUGAAAGGAAUCAUGUUGCUUAAUAAGUUUGUUUGUUUUGGAAUUAAGCACAAAGCUACACAAUGGGCUAUUUGAGCUCUGCCCACCACAGGUAUCGAAACCCAGUUUCUAGCAUUGUAAGUCUGCAGACAUACCGCUGUGCCACUGGGGGGCAGCUUAAGAAGUAGCAUUAGUUACAAGAUGAAGUAUUUUUUUUUACAAAUAAUAAUUGUUAAAAGAAUAAAGUUAUUUACAUGAUUUUUCUAUGUAUUUUUAUACACAUUUUAGGUGGUGGUGUAGUAGAUGGCAUAGCUAUUAUUUAGUAAAGUAUGUGGGACUUGUUUCUAGAUGUAUUUCUUCUACUGGCUGUGAUACUUGUAGUUUUUUUUUCUAUUCUCAUGUUAACAAAUAAUUUUGUUUACAAUUUUAGGAUUUGUGCAUGAGUUGAAUAAUAUGUUUAUUUUUAUGUAUAUUCAAACAUAUUUGGUAAUUUUACUGAAUUUUGUAAUGGUUGCAUUUCAAACAGUUUGUAUACAAUCAACUUAU
rnacentral:misc_RNA from 1 species